CACGUAGGGUACGAGCGUUGUCCGGAAUUAUUGGGCGUAAAGAGCUCGUAGGCGGUGUGUCGCGUCGGCCGUGAAAACCUGCAGCUUAACUGUGGGCUUGCGGUCGAUACGGGCAUGACUGGAGUUCGGCAGGGGAGACUGGAAUUCCUGGUGUAGCGGUGAAAUGCGCAGAUAUCAGGAGGAACACCGGUGGCUAAGGCGACUACCUGGCCUGUUCUUGACGCUGAGGCGCGAAAGCUAGGGGAGCAAACGGG
rnacentral:rRNA from 1 species